UUUCAGACAGGGGGCCGGGUGCGGGUAGGGGUGCGGUGUAAUGACUGAGCCACGCAUUUGGGGUGGGUAAGGUGAGCGGCCCUGGCUCCAGAGAGGCCCACUACCUUUAGGAGUGCCAGAUGAGGAAAGGGCGUUCUUGGCAGGAUUUAAAAACAGAGGGCCAUUGAGUUGAACGCCCGAGAGUAACCUCGAGUGCAGAUGGACCUGUUGCCCAGCCCGCCUAGUGCUGCUAAAUCCACCGGCUCAAGGCCUCACUCGACCUGGGCUUUGCAAACUCCAGCCCGUUCUCCUUCCACCAAUCCCCGACGCUGGUCUCCAAGAAGGCCGACCCGAGCUUAGGAUAAAGACAUUGGCGUUCAUGGAGAUAAGUCUGGCCCUUCCAUCUGCCCAUCAUCGAUCGAGUCUUGGAACACAAACCCCAGACCUUGAAAGCAGCCCUCUUGGCCUGCUCCCAUCAAGCCUCCUGGAACCCUCUCUGAAAGGCCAGCAAGUCCAGCCGUGCCUUCUCAGACCUCUUCAAGGCAUCCAUCCACCCACCCGACGUCCUGAAGUGCCGUGCUUUCGGAUUCUCUGACAAUGCACAGUCCCCAGUCUGCUGCUGGACCACCCUCUUCCUGCCUCCUCCACUUGUUUCUUUUCCUCCGCCUCCUCCCCUCCAAAUGCUCUGGGCCCUUGGCUCACUCCGUGUUUUCUCCGUAAGGGAGAUGACUGCAUCUGGGAUGAUGCAGCUCAAGUGGACAUCCACAGCCCUUUCCCAGGGCCAGAGUACAUUUCCAGUCAGCUCUUGCACAUGCAAAACGGAGCCUCCUGCUAGCAGCUCAAAAACAGCACAGCCUUCUCGGGGCAAGGAGAGGUCGCACCAGAUGUGCUCUCGGACCUAUCCAGGUCUAACCCUCACUGUUUCUGGCCCCAAACCGACAUCAUCAUCAUCCCUUCCAAAAAUCGGCCCUUCCUUUUAACUCCUUCAUUUCUAUCCCUGGUACCACUGCUCCUCCUGUGACUUGGUCUCAGAAUUCCAGAAUGUCUUUUGCUGCUUCUCAUCUCCCGCCUCCCACCCUUGAAAAACAACUGUCAUAUUCAGCAGAUUGUACCCCCAAUGGUGUUUUCUUCUGCCUCCGCUGCCGCCUGCACUGGCCGAGGCUCCCUGACAGCCAGUGGUUGCACCCACUGCUGCUGGGUUAUCUUACUGAGGCCAGAGCUCACUGCCCCCAAAUUUUCAAUGGUUCCUUGUGGCCUAGAGACUCAGUAGGGAUGGAGAAGGAAGGAAAACGCACUGGAGGAGAGCCGGAAGCAGCGGUACCGUUUCUGCCCCUCCCUGCUGGCUCCUAAAGGCCCCUUGGGGAAAGAGCCCUGGAAUAGAAAUACAAAGACAUAAACUCUAGUCCUGGCUCUGUAGCCACCCAGCUUUGAAAUCAGUUUCAUGUCCCAUCAAAUCAGAUGGUUAGAUUAGAUGCUAAGUUGCGGCCAGCUCCAACAUCAUAAAUAUGUGUGGAUGUCACAUCUAUAGAUAGGUGUGAGUAUCAUUUAACUUACAUCAUACCAAUUUUAAAAGUGCUUUUCCCACCAGUUAUUUCAAAUGACUGUCACAGCAGCCCUUUGAGGCAAACAGGAUGUGUAUGUGUCGCUUUUUUUUUUUUUUGAGACGGAGUUUCGCUCUUGUUACCCAGGCUGGAGUGCAAUGGCGCGACCUCGGCUCACCGCAACCUCCGCCUCCUGGGUUCAGGCAAUUCUCCUGCCUCAGCCUCCUGAGUAGCUGGGAUUACAGGCACGAGCCACCAUGCCCAGCUAAGUUUUUGAAUUUUUAGUAGAGAUCGGGUUUCACCAUAUUGACCAGGAUGGUCUCGAUCUCUUGACCUCGUGAUCCACCUGCCUCGGCCUCCCAAAGUGCUGGGAUUACAGGCUUGAGCCACCGCACCUGGCCAUGUAUCGCUUUUUUACAAAUGGGGAAACGGAGCAUCCAAAGGGUUAAAUGAGUAGCCAGAAGUAACAGAGUAUACUUUGGAAUCAGACCUAAAAAGUCAAACUCCAAUGACUUAACUUUGCAGAGCUUCAAUUUCCCUGUUGUAAAAUGAGGCUCCUCAAGUAGUGCCCACUUCUGCUAUGUUGCCUCCUUUGGGUCACACCACGUUUGGGCUCCAGCAGGGAGAGUCAGCCGUGCCAAAAAUCGAAGGCUGGGAGGUGGGGGCUGGAUGCUAGCUUGCUAAGACCCUGAGAGGGUCUCUCGACCUGAGACCCUCAACCCAAGAGGGUCUCUCAACACUACCUCAAGCAAAUUAUGGCCUCCUAAUGCUGUGUCUCUCGGCAAACACUCAGGUGAGAGGAGGGGACCCAGAUACAGCAAAGGGGGAUCACAGCGGGACCCCCCAGGAUCUGGACUCUGAGACCCUUUGGAGCUCUUUGACCCAGUAAGCCUCACCCUCAAAUACUCAAUUUUGCUUGUGGUGUUGGAUCAGGUCUUAUCAUGCAUAUUUGUCUUGGCUGUUAUUUCACUAAGGCCCUGACCUCAGCUCUGAGAGGACAGAUGUUUUCAGAGUCAAGUUGGCGUAUGGCCAACUUUAAGAGGCUGGGGAGGGGCAGAGGAGGCACUACCAAGGCAAGAGAGCCUGUGGAAGCCACGGGGCAGCAGUGAAGCAGAGGAGGAAUACGGUUGAGGUGCUGGCCGGGCAGGAGACCUCAGAAAUACACAGUCGGAGGCACGGGCCAAGAGGUCACAGGGUAGGAGUGCUCUACCUUGGGGCAGAGAGCAGCCUGGUAACUCUCUGGCUUGACCUUAAGUCAAGGAAACUAAAGCCCAGAGAUUGGCUUAUCCAAAGUCACACAGUGGGAAAUCUGAGAGGUUUCCUAUUUCUAAGACUAGGAUGGUCCACCCUCUCACCGAAAACACGUAAAAAUCUUCGAUAAAAUAUAUCAAGCAUCACUGAAAUGCAGCAGUCAUGAAUUGCUUCAUCUGUGCAAAGGUUUAUCAGAUUUGGUUGACCUGUCCCUGUGCUAAUGAGCAGUAUCUCUCGCCUUUGGGUCUUGCCCCUGGGGGCAGGGACACCCUACCCUAGCACCACCACUUAAUGUCAUCUCCAUCUGAAGGCCAAGUGGAGCAGGGGCAACCAGAUGACAGCACACUGAGAGACAGAGUUUCACCAUGUUGGUCAGGCUGGUCUCGAACUCCUGACCUUGUGAUCCACCCGCCUCAGCCUCUCAAAGUGCCGGGAUUACAAGUAUGAGCCACCGUGCCCAGCCACACUUCUAUAUAUGGCAUAGAAUUAUGUGUGCAUCUCCCUCCACCAGCCAGCCGGUAAGUUCCCUGUGAGAAGAGGCUGAGUCUGAUCAGCAUGGAGUCCUUGAUGUGGGCCACGUGCUGGAUGCACAUUAAACAUUUGUGGAAUUCAGCUCCAGAGAGAGCUCUGGGGAAAGUCUGAGCAAGGGGCCCCACACUUGAGCAGGGGAUGCAUCCUGCGUUGUGACCCUGUGGCUGGGCUGAGCUUCCAGGCUCUGGGAGUAAACGUGGUGCAGUGGUGUAGUGGAAAGUCAUGCCCUCGGGUUAAAAGAGCCCCCUCCAACCACCCCGCAUCACAUUCCAGCUUUGCCUUCCAAUGGCUUACUGCAUGCCCCGGGACAAGUCACUUCAUUCAUUCAUUAGUAUAUUUGUUCAGCAUUUAAUGGGCAUUGUGGUGGCUUUAUAGUGUCAACUUACCUAAGCUGAACUACAUGGCCCAGAAUUCCUUUGCCUAGAGGGUCGUGGGUUGGCGGAGUGGUGCGGGAGAGAAAUGUUCACAAGAUUUGGAAGUGGAAGGACAGCACAGCCGUGUUUGCUGUGCUCUGAGGCUGUGCAGGGCAGGCACGCAGCACCUCCCCUAAGCUGGUGCUAAACGCUGGCUUAUCGUGUUGACCCGGAGCAGCUGCAGGCCCACAGGUCAUCCAGCUCCUGGACGAGGUGUGCGGCUCUGGAAUGAAGAUCCCCAGUUUGUCCCUCAGGGCCCUGGCAUCAUAGAGACUGCAGGUGGUGAGAGUCAAAUACCGUUCCAGUUUGUUCUUUAUCUUUCCCACUUCACAUCCAGCCUCUCUCCCUGAGCCGGCCCAGCUAACCUCAGGCCCAGUAGAGACGCAGAGAUAACCUCUUACACAGACCAAGCAACCAUCUCCCACCGUCAAGGAGUUCUGACCCCUGGAGAAACCCCUUAUUCUCUAUGGCUCACUGGAGCUCAGCUUCUGAUGGAACUGCAGUGGAUCCUCUGUGACAGGCACCCUCCUCGUCCAUGGAGAUGGGAAAAUAAGCAAGGUGUCACCCUGCUGGGGCUCAGCUUUCUCAUUUUUACCAGGUGCCGUUGUGAGCUCACCAGCUCCCUCCUUCCCGCCCACCUGCCCCGCUGCAAACAGGGACAGCACAGGAGUCUGCAGUCUCUCCCCUGCCCGCUGUGCGUCUGUACCAGGCUGGCCUCUUCCAAAGUCCUGAUCUGUCCACAAGUUGCUCCUCAGCUUACUGUUAUCUUUGAGCCAUCUGAAGAAGCUGCAAGUUCACUCCAGGCGCUGAAUAGAGGAUCCGGGAGGUCUGGUGCAGACUGUGUUUAGCCCUAAUGAGCGAACCCCUCCUCUGAUCGUGCCAGCUUCCAGGACAGCACUCCAAGACUGUGGUUAUCCUGGACACACUGACUGAAGGCGGAGCUCUUCCCUUCCUGGACCCUGUCUCAGUGGUCCAUGAAGAGAGCCUGGCAGCCGUAGCACCAGCAACCUUCCUUUCGCUCCCCACCUCUCUCUUGUAACCUCUUGAUAAUCCUCCAGCUUCCACUCUUAGCCUGCUGCAUUCAGCUUGGGGAACCUUAAAAUACAGGUUGGGUCCUGGGAAUGACAAGACCCAACCUGUGUUUUAAGGUUCCCCAAGUAUAGUAGAGCUGUGCUUUUGCGUAUUUUAUCUCACUGAUCAGUCACUACCUGAGAAGUAGGUUGUGUUAUUUCCAUUUUACAUAAGAGGUAACAUAGACUUGGGGACAAUAAGUCAUUUCUCAAAAACCACAAAGGUAUUAACUGAAAAGCCAUUAAAAGUUUUUCAAAAGAACAGGUUGUAUUUUUCUGUCUUAAGGAUAUAUGAUAAAAGAUUUGGAUUAAACGUUACAUCCACUGCACAAUCUAUGAUUAAGAAGAGAUUUCCUUAGAAAAGACUGAAUGUUAACAAAACUUUCCCAUUGUACUGAGUGUACUCCUGAUGCUUCAGGUCAAGCCUCCUUGCUGGUUUUUAAAAGUCAGGUUCUUUCCUGUUUCACGGACCUGCCCAGACGGUUGCCUCUGCCUGACGGUUGCCUCUGCCCAGACGGUUGCCUCUGCCUGACGGUUGCCUCUGCCUGACGGUUGCCUCUGCCUGACGGUUGCCUCUGCCCAGACGGUUGCCUCUGCCCAGACGGUUGCCUCUGCCUGACGGUUGCCUCUGCCUGAAACGUCCCUCCUCUCCUCCAACUCAUAUCUCGCUCAAAAGUCUUAUCUAAGGUGAGUUUUCCCCAACUAUUUUUUAUUUUAAUAAAACCAACCACUUUGCAUUUCCCGCCACUCUGUUUGUUCUCUUCAUACAUUCGUUUGUUUGCUGAUGGAUUUAUUGUCUUUCUUCCCACUGGAAAGGCUGGAAACUUCCUGAGGCCGGGACCCGGUCCACCUUGCUCACUGCUAUAACUCAGCCCCUUGCAGAGAGUCCAGAACAUAGUAGGCAUUUAAUAAUUAUUGGUCGUUUUUAUAAACUGCAGCAAGCGUGCUGCAGGAAGGAGCGGGCUGGUGCCAACAUACAUGGGAAUGGUCAAGGAACUGGAAAACUGUCUCCCACUGGGCCUGCCACCCACACCCAAACCCCAGCACUGCUAUUAAGGAUCCACAUGGGCCAGUGACAAGAGGGGGCUGAGGUCAGAGAGGGUACAGCCCAAUAUCUUCCAAGGUAUAGGUUCGAGGGACCCUGGAGGUCUUCAUGUAUUUUUUCUAAUCCACAAAGCCUAUUGGAAAUUAACUCUGAGGUUAAUUUCAAGUGUCUACCGCCUCCUUGGUAGACCUGCUCUAUAAGCAGGUAAGAAGGGUGCUUCCUCCUCUGCCUGCCCUAGUGAAUAUGGCCCGAAGGCUGGACAGCGGGGAAGAGAAGGCUUAGUCACCACUUUUGCAGUGCCAGCAAUGCGAGCCACACUGAUACUAUCCUAGUGUACUUUCUAUUUUCAAGGAACUGGCAUGACUUCUACACAAUUUCCACGAAAAAUGUCUUCUCCACCUGACUCCG